UCAUGUUUAAUUGUUGGUGUACCUUUACCCUUUAUGGUUUUCUGGUUAUGGCUGGCUGCAUGUUGAUAGCUACGUUGCAUGCACUUCCUAGUGCUUGAACGCUGCGAAUCUGUCCAUGACAAAGAUUGUAUAUGUCCUUGGAGUCGCAUCAGUAAAUUUUUCAUGAAAUUACAAAAUUAUAUGAUCUUUCUAACUUUAAAAUAUAUAUUUUUCCCUCAUUCGAAAUGUUCUCCAGCCCCCUCCCUCCCCUUAUCCAGUUGUUAUGGCCUUUUUUAUAUAAAAAAAUCUGGUAAAGUUUCCUGCAAUCGGCCAAUAUGAUACCUUAAACAACAGAGCAUCCUGGCGGCUGAAAAUCCAAACAGAGCAUCCGGAUCCAUGAUAUUAAGCCUUUUUUCGGUUUCCAUCAAAGAAAAUAAAAGUGAAGCUUGACGUUUUUGAUAAAGAACAUUAGAGGCUGAUCUGAUAUGCGAAACCCUGAAUUCUGUGUCACACACAAUGAAUAUUCCUCCUCCUCAACCUCAUCUACGCACUUCAUGUUUGUUCCGGCCUCCAUUUUGUCCACUGGAUCAUGAUGCAUGGUUCCAAAUGAAGUAAUGGUUUUG
rnacentral:lncRNA from 1 species